GACGAACGCUGGCGGCGUGCCUAAUACAUGCAAGUAGAACGCUGAAGGAGGAGCUUGCUCUUCUGGAUGAGUUGCGAACGGGUGAGUAACGCGUAGGUAACCUGCCUGGUAGCGGGGGAUAACUAUUGGAAACGAUAGCUAAUACCGCAUAAGAGUAGAUGUUGCAUGACAUUUACUUAAAAGGUGCAAUUGCAUCACUACCAGAUGGACCUGCGUUGUAUUAGCUAGUUGGUGGGGUAACGGCUUACCAAGGCGACGAUACAUAGCCGACCUGAGAGGGUGAUCAGCCAGACUGGGACUGGGACACGGCCCAGACGCAUACGGGAGGCAGCAGUAGGGAAUCUUCGGGAAUGGGCGGAAGUCUGACCGAGCAACGCCGCGUGAGGGAAGAAGGUUGUCGGAUCGUAAAGCUCUGUUGUCAGAGAAGAACGAGUGUGAGAGUGGAAAGUUCACAGUGUGACGGUAACUGAUCAGAAAGGAACGGCUAACUACGUG
rnacentral:rRNA from 1 species